rnacentral:rRNA from 1 species
GACGAACGCUGGCGGUGUGCUUCACACAUGCAAGUCGAACGGGGUAGCAAUACCCAGUGGCGGACGGGUGAGUAACGCGUAGGAAUCUGCCUUUAGGUGGGGGAUAACAGUUCGAAAGAACUGCUAAUACCGCAUAUGAGUACAAUUCGACAGUUUUGUACUUAAAAGGAGCAAUUCGCCUGGAGAUGAGCCUGCGUCCGAUUAGCUAGUUGGUAGGGUAAAAGCCUACCAAGGCGACGAUCGGUAGGUGGUCUGAGAGGAUGAUCACCC